rnacentral:rRNA from 1 species
UCGGGAAUUUUGGGCAAUGGGCGAGAGCCUGACCCAGCAACGCCGCGUGAAGGAUGAAGUAUUUCGGUAUGUAAACUUCGAAAGAAUAGGAAGAAUAAAUGACGGUACUAUUUAUAAGGUCCGGCUAACUACGUGCCAGCAGCCGCGGUAAUACGUAGGGACCAAGCGUUGUUCGGAUUUACUGGGCGUAAAGGGCGCGUAGGCGGCUUGACAAGUCACUUGUGAAAUCUCUGGGCUUAACCCAGAACGGCCAAGUGAUACUGUCGCGCUAGAGUGCAGAAGGGGCAAUCGGAAUUCUUGGUGUAGCGGUGAAAUGCGUAGAUAUCAAGAGGAACACCUGAGGUGAAGACGGGUUGCUGGGCUGACACUGACGCUGAGGCGCGAAAGCCAGGGGAGCAAACGGGAUUAGAUACCCCGGUAGUCCCUGAGCGGGCUGGCAAGGCGCAU